rnacentral:lncRNA from 1 species
AUGAAAGACUCGGACUCUGAAAUCUCCUCCAUGAAACCCAGCAACAAUAAUAAUGCUGCCAAGCUCACAAAGCCUCCUUUCGUACCAGCCAAAGACGACACCAAACCUGUGCUUCAAGACCCAGUCAGUUCUCUCUCUCUCUCUCUCUCUCUACACAAUACAAACAUAAAGGUUAUUCUUUUCUGGGUUUGGUUUUUAUUAAUUGGACUUUUUUUUUGCUUUUUGUUGUUGGUAGAUACUGAGGUCUGAUCCGAUUGAGACAGAGGAAGCUGUGCUUCGGUUGCCUCCAUUUCCUAUUAACAGAUCAAAAAAUCCUCAACCCAAAAUGAGUUGA